CUCCUCCCUUGGGCGGGCAUGGUGUGCCUACCAUGCUGUCCCGGUUGCUGCUCAACUUCAGGUACUGGCAGGAUAAACCAAGAAGCAUGCAUUUCAAGUGCCCCUGCAGUUUUUGCAUGUCCUACCAAUGGGAUCCUUCUGACAACUCUAGACUAAGGGGGUGAGUAGAACACAGGGUUAGUGUAGGCAUGAGUCAG
rnacentral:lncRNA from 1 species